rnacentral:rRNA from 1 species
ACGAACGCUGGCGGCGUGCUUAACACAUGCAAGUCGAGCGGAAAGGCCCUUCGGGGUACUCGAGUGGUGAACGGGUGAGUAACACGUGGGUGAUCUGCCCUGCACUUCGGGAUAAGCCUGGGAAACUGGGUCUAAUACCGGAUAUGACCUUGGGAUGCAUGUCCUUUGGUGGAAAGCUUUUGCGGUGUGGGAUGGGCCCGCGGCCUAUCAGCUUGUUGGUGGGGUUAAGGCCUACCAAGGCGACGACGGGUAGCCGGCCUGGGAGGGUGACCGGCCACACUGGGACUGAGAUACGGCCCAGACUCCUACGGGAGGCAGCAGUGGGGAAUAUUGCACAAUGGGCGCAAGCCUGAUGCAGCGACGCCGCGUGAGGGACGACGGCCUUCGGGUUGUAAACCUCUUUCAGCACAGACGAAGCGCGAGUGACGGUAUGUGCAGAAGAAGGACCGGCCAACUACGU